rnacentral:rRNA from 1 species
GAUGAACGCUGGCGGCGUGCUUAACACAUGCAAGUCGAACGGGAAUUAUUUUAUUGACACUUCGGUCGAUAUGAUUUAAUUCUAGUGGCGGACGGGUGAGUAACGCGUGGGUAACCUGCCUUGUACAGGGGGAUAACAGUCAGAAAUGGCUGCUAAUACCGCAUAAGCGCACAGAGCUGCAUGGCUCCGUGUGAAAAACUACGGUGGUAUAAGAUGGACCCGCGUUGGAUUAGCUUGUUGGCAGGGUAACGGCCUACCAAGGCGACGAUCCAUAGCCGGCCUGAGAGGGUGAACGGCCACAUUGGGACUGAGACACGGCCCAGACUCCUACGGGAGGCAGCAGUGGGGAAUAUUGCACAAUGGGGGAAACCCUGAUGCAGCGACGCCGCGUGAAGGAAGAAGUAUCUCGGUAUGUAAACUUCUAUCAGCAGGGAAGAGAUUGACGGUACCUGACUAAGAAGCCCCGGCUAACUACGUG